rnacentral:rRNA from 1 species
GGAUGCCCUCCGUCGUCACCCCUUAAAAAGCGUUACCCCCGUUGGGACUGCUUCGUUACGGCGCACUUACUUCUUCCGGAAGCCCAACAUUUCAAGAAAGCACCCUCUGCUUUUCCAUUAGCGAUUAUAGCCAANGACAACUGCACUNG